rnacentral:rRNA from 1 species
ACUCCUACGGGUGGCAGCAGUGGGGAAUUUUCCGCAAAGGGCGAAAGCCUGACGGAGCAAGACCGCGUGGGGGAAGAAGGCUCUUGGGUUGUAAACCCCUUUUCUCUGGGAAGAAAGUUGUGAAAGCAACCUGACGGUACCAGAGGAAUCAGCAUCGGCUAACUCCGUGCCAGCAGCCGCGGUAAGACGGAGGAUGCAAGCGUUAUCCGGAAUGAUUGGGCGUAAAGCGUCCGCAGGUGGCAGUUCAAGUCUGCUGUCAAAGACCGGGGCUCAACCUCGGAAAGGCAGUGGAAACUGAACAGCUAGAGUAUGGUAGGGGCAAAGGGAAUUCCUGGUGUAGCGGUGAAAUGCGUAGAGAUCAGGAAGAACAUCGGUGGCGAAGGCGCUUUGCUGGACCAUAACUGACACUCAGGGACGAAAGCUAGGGGAGCGAAUGGGAUUAGAUACCCCAGUAGUCCUAGCCGUAAACGAUGGAUACUAGGUGUUGUCUGUAUCGACCCGGACAGUGCCGUAGCUAACGCGUUAAGUAUCCCGCCUGGGGGAGUACGCACGCAAGUGUGAAACUCAAAGGAAUUGACGGGGGCCCGCACAAGCGGUGGAGUAUGUUGGUUUAAUUCGAUGCAACGCGAAGAACCUUACCAGGACUUGACAUGUCGCGAAUCUU